UAGAAGAAAGCAGACACGAUUUAUUUCUUCUUCGUCUACAAUGUGUAGAAGACAAGCAUCUAUGCCGUACGGAUGCUCUCUACCUCGGAAUUAUGCUAUUAUGCUACUAGCCUGCAAAUUUUUGGGACGAGCGGAGCUUUGUCCACAACCAAUCCAGCUCGAUUUUGAAGCCUCUGGUUGCUCUCUAUCUCGAAAUUAUGCUACUGUUGAUGCAAGUAAACGCAGACCUCCGCUUCUCAACUCGGCUGGGAUGUAGCUCCUCUACUCAGCAAACUCUUAAGCAAUUACUUCUGGGUUUAUGUUGCUACACCUGCAAUUUUCGGAGGCAAUUAUUCUUUAAUUGCCGUGGGCUCCAAAGCAGCUACGGUAAGCUUCAAUGGAAUAGGGAUUUUCGGGAAAUUUAGGGGAAACUGGGCUGCGAUUUGCUUCUCUACUUUUCCUUGUUGAUUUAGCUCUACUGGGCGUGUCUUCUCAAGUCCUUCAAUUGUGCUCUCUAUCUCGAAUUUAUGCUACCCUAAUGAUACAUCUCUCUUUGGGCAUCGAUUACCAAGCUUUGUUAUACAAUUUUCAGAGCCUGCAAAUUUUGGCGACUAGGACAGCUUUGGCUAUGGGAUUCCAGCUCGAAUUUGUGGCUGUGGAUGCUCUCUAAAGACCUCUACUCUUUCUUGACUUAACCAGAAACACAAAUGUAAAUCUCAUGAUCGUAUAACAUGAGAGUAAUUUAUUUUGGAUGCAAUUCUCUACUCCUUAGCUCAGGCGGUUGAAAGAAAAUGAUGAAGCAGCCUUUUUAAACAAUAACUCCAUCAACUCAGAGUACGUCCUUGCAAAUAAAAUGAUGAAGCAGCAAUUUCACACAAUAAUUACCCUACUGAUGCAUCUCUCUUUGGGCAUCGGUUACACACCUUGUUACACAAUUUUCAGAGCCUGCAAAUUAUGGCGACUAGCGGAGCUUUGGCUAUGGGAUUCCAGCUCAAAUUAUGGCGACUAGCGGAGCUUUGGCUUUGAAGCCUCUGGUUGCUCUCUACGUGAAUCUAUGGCACAAGGAUGCUCUCUAUCUCGAAAUCUAUAAUCCAACAUGUUGUGUGUCGAGAGAUGAAUAAAAAUUAAAUCAUAGUGUCGCUGCUCUCCCCUAAGCUUACUCUGAUUUUUUUGACAAAUAAAAUGAGUGACAAAUAGAAAACCUGAUAACUUAGACUACAACAUUUUCAUU